AUGUGGAGGAGAAGAUUGCUUGCUGCCAUUAUUGUGUGUUUAGGGAUGUACUGGUACAAGAUUAAUGUCCGAAAAAGGAAGAGAAAAUCUAUAACUUAUGCUCCCAUGUUCGAACGAGAUGUUGAAAGGAUGUCACGCCUGAACCACACAUUCCAUGUAACUGUGGAGGAGCAAGUUGCCAUGUUCAUCCAUGUUGUGGGUCAUAACUGGAAAAAUAGAUCGAUUGGUUUCGAGUUUUAUCGAUCGGACGAGACUGUUAGUAGGUACUUCAAUGCUGUUUUAGAUGCCCUGUGUCUCCUUGCUCGUGAUGUCAUAUGCAUCAGAACCAUCGAAACACAUUCGAAGAUAACAAGUAGCUCCAGAUUUCACCCUUACUUUGAGGGAUGCAUAGGAGCUCUGGAUGGUACUCAUAUACCGGCAUGUGUGCCAAUCCACAUGCAAGAUAGGUUUAGGGGUAGAAAGUCCUUUCCCACACAAAAUGUGCUAGCAGCCGUUGAUUUUGACCUAAGAUUUACAUAUGUUCUUGCUGGAUGGGAGGGAUCGGCUCAUGAUUCUUAUGUGCUCCAAGAUGCCCUAUCACGUCCCAAUGGCCUUGAAAUACCAGAAGGUAAAUAUUUCCUAGCGGAUGCGGGAUAUGCUGCAAGACCCGGUAUACUCCCCCCAUAUCGUGGUGUCCGAUAUCACCUAAAGGAAUAUAGGGGAAGUAGAGAGCCUGAGAACCCAAGGGAGUUAUUCAACCAUCGCCAUUCCUCACUUAGAACAACAGUCGAAAGAGCAUUUGGUACCUUGAAGAAUCGAUUUAAAAUAUUUGCAAGUCAGCCAUUCUUCCCUCUAAAAACACAAGUAAAAAUUGUGUUUGCUUGUUGUACGCUCCAUAACUGGAUCCUGGAUGAUGGUCCUGAUGAGUAUGUCUAUGAUGAUGCUACUUGGUACUCGGCCCUUCCACGGAGUAGACGACACCGUCGUGACGUUUACCAGGAGAGCCAGACAUGGGCACACAAAAGGGAUGUACUAGCUCAAAAAAUGUGGGAGGAUAAUUUAGCAGCUCAAGAUCAAGAUGAUUAA
rnacentral:rRNA from 1 species